rnacentral:pre_miRNA from 1 species
UUAGUACUUCCUCUGUCCCAAAUUUUUUGUCUUAGAUUUUUCUAGAUACGGAUGUAUCUAAUACUAAAAUGUGACUUGAUACAUCCAUAUUUAGAUAAAUCUAAAACAAGAAUUUUGGGACGGAGGAAGUACAGG